UCUUACAAAAACAAACUGUAAACUGUCUUAUGCUUGGGUGUUCCUAUCUACCCUGUGUAUAAACAGUUCGUUUUCAUCAUAACUUUGGAUUUUUCCACCCUAACGAACAUGUUUGAUUUUGGGGAUACUUUGGCGUUAUUAAUUAUACUUACUAUCACAGCAGUAGGCAUAUUGGCCUGCCUGGGAGCCUAUGCCAGGAGGAGAUCCUACAUGGAGGCAUUAUAAGCAAUUGAGUUUGUCAAGAAGCAAGAUGGGCAUAGAGGAUAUUAUCUAUUCAGCAGAUCAAAUGCACAUUUUGUAAAAAUAUUAUGUAAAUAUUUAAUUACAUUUAGUUAAAUAAAAUUAUAAUCAUAAGCUAGGAUUAAGUCUAAGAUAAAUAAAAACCCGUAUUAUGAACAAAA